rnacentral:rRNA from 1 species
UUGCCUACGGGGGGCAGCAGUGAGGAAUAUUGGUCAAUGGGCGGGAGCCUGAACCAGCCAAGUCGCGUGAGGGAAGAAGGUACUGAGUAUUGUAAACCUCUUUUGCCAGGGGACAAAGGCGGCCACGGGUGGCCGUAAGAGGGUACCUGGAGAAAAAGCAUCGGCUAACUCCGUGCCAGCAGCCGCGGUAAUACGGAGGAUGCGAGCGUUAUCCGGAAUUACUGGGUGUAAAGGGUGAGUAGGCGGCAUGGUAAGCCAGAUGUGAAAGCCUUGGGCUUAACCCGAGGAUUGCAUUUGGAACUAUC